rnacentral:tRNA from 1 species
AAGUAGUGAAGUAAAAAUAUUACAUUUAGUUUCGACCUAAAAAUAGAGUCUAACUCCUUACUUU